rnacentral:lncRNA from 1 species
AGUCUGCGGCGGGGGCUUUGUUCUGAGUGAAGCAAGCGGGCGGCAGAGCUGGAGGUUUCACAAGGCUGCUGGGAGAGGCUUCGGUGCAGGAACCCAAGUCCAAGUUUGCUUCUUAGGAUGUGUAAAGCAUGGUCUUUAAGAAAGAGAACCUGGAUUUCAUUGAAUUGUAUUUAUGUCGAAUCACGAUUCUCUUGUGCAAUUAUUAGCAUGAACUCUGUGCAUGAAAGCAACAUCAGGAGUCUGCCUGGGUCCGAGAGGAGUUCAGCCUUACUACAGCCUCAGAUGAGAACAGGAGUGGGACCAGCUCUGAGUUAGAUGAAACCCAGAAGACUUCAGAGAAAGUCCUCUAUCACUUCCAGCCCAGCCCAGUAAGGGAAACUGGGACUCUUCCUCCUUUUGUUCUACUCAAGUUGCUGCUUCCAAGGCUCUGUGACCGACAAGGGAUGGACUGGACUAUUAAUCUAAAAUGUUUAAUUUUUAAAGUCAUUUGUCAUAGAGAGUCACAACCCCGAGCAAUGAAAAUAUUUUUUAAUUCAUAGGUGAGUGUUGGGUUUUGGUUUGGUUUUGUUUUGUUUUUACCUCACUCCAAACUACUCAUCUUGGGUUUGUGUUGUCCUGGGGUUCUUCAGUUGGGUACCAGAACAGUCUGGUGCACAGUGAGUGAAGCUAUCACUGGCAAGCCUUGGCAUGAGUUGAGCAGGUGUAGUUAACUCAACAUUAAUUGUGCUCCUUGUAAUAAAUCCAUCUCUACCCUAAAGUCAGACCGUGAUCGCUUUUCCUUUUAGGGGACAGUAGGUAAGGAUGAGAGACAUAUCUUUUGCUCUGAGUACAAAGUUCUAUUCUUGGUUCUUAGAAACAUUCACAGAAUAGACGGCCUCUAAUUUGCAAACGGGACUAAUGAAUAACUUCCAGUUGGGGCUGUGUAGUUUCUCAUGUUCAUAUUUUUCAAUGCUCUUCCCUUAAAAAAAAAUGCAUUCAGUCUGGCUCAAAACUAACUGAGAGUUUUACCCAGUUCAUUGGUGGUAAAUGGUCAUGUGUUACCCUGUGUAGGAUCCAAGGACUCUAGAAGAGAAGGACUUACAGAUGUGUGGUCACUUCUUUUUCAAAUAGGAAGUAAAUAUAAAACUCUGAACGGAAAAUAGUUUUCUUGUUCUCUGCAACUUAACCAGACCCAUGCAAGUUGCUAAUGAAAAACUGAAUAGACAAAAUUUCCAUCCUCAAUAAUGACCUACAUAAUGAAACAUGUGGAUAACUUGUCUGUGUUGUUUGUGUAUGUGUGUGCAUAGAUGCAAGCCAUCACUCAUAUCUGCCAUUAAGCCUCGGCAGUAUGUGUUGGCAGCAGAAUUAGAUCUCUGAACAUCCCUAGUCCCCUUGUUUCUUUUUGUUCCAUCCCAGUUCCACCGCUCAGGUAUAUUCCUGGUCUUCGGUCCUGAAAGCCUGGACAUUGCAGAGAUAGGAAGUGCACUCAUGAAUACUGUUUAUUCUUUGAGAAUUCAUGCCCAUUCUCUUUUCUACUAGGACACCUGCUGGGAGAAGUGUGCUCCUGUUACUCAGAAUUCUGCAAGUGAAAGUAAAAUGUGUUGGGGAUAGUUCCUCCCUAAUCUCCAUUGGGAAGUUUGCAUCUGGAUCCCAGUUGUAUACAGUUUUUGUUAAUUUAUGCUUGUGUGAACAGCUGCCUGAGACAGACCAUAUUUGGAUUUAGCAAGUGUUUCUGUUCCUUCAAAAAAAAAAUAUAUCAAAACAAAACAACUCCACAGUAAUGACAAUGAAGGCUUUCAAAAGAAUUCUGGAAACUCAGGUUCCCAGAAGUGGCCCAAUAACAUGAAGAUAUGAAACAAGGUCUCUACUAUGUCAGAGACAUCGCCAUGUUAGUUAGCUGUCAACUGACAUCUAACAGAAGCCUUUUCACAUGACUCUCUGUCAGACAUCCCUGAUAACCGUGUGCACACUUUCCCUGUGUCACAUCACCACUCCACCAGUGGUGUCAGGAGGAAAGACAACAAAGGCCAGAACUGUUACUGCUGAGACAGAAAGAAGACUGUAUCAGUAGCAUGACUCUUUAAUCACUGUUAUGUACAAUUUAUCAUCUGACAGACUUACAGGGAAUAAAUAAAGGAAAAUAGACAAUUGGCA